rnacentral:lncRNA from 1 species
AGGAGAGAGGAGAGAGGAUAAGAAGGUUAUAAAUUUAUUAGAUAUAAGAAAAAAAAAUUUAUGAGAGAGAUAAAUGGACCUUGUAUUAAAAAUUGAAGAGCUCACUAGUAUAUGGUGGGCUGAGAGGUAGACUGCAACCAGCAGCCGGUGUAUUAUUAGCCUUGAUCCUCGCGUCAGUCGGAUCAGACGAAAUCUUGGACUUAGCCUGCGCGCGCGUGCAGUGUACCUGCAGGUUUGUCUCAAGAGUUGGGUUUUACAAACACCAACCCUCCAUGCUCCACCUACGCCCUAGCUACGUGGCCAUGUCGAGGCGCUCAUGCAAGCAUGUGAGCCCCUUCACGCGCCGACGAUCAGAG